rnacentral:rRNA from 1 species
AUUGAACGCUAGCGGGAUGCUUUACACAUGCAAGUCGAACGGCAGCGCGGACUUCGGUCUGGCGGCGAGUGGCGAACGGGUGAGUAAUGUAUCGGAACGUGCCCAGUAGCGGGGGAUAACUACGCGAAAGCGUAGCUAAUACCGCAUACGCCCUACGGGGGAAAGCAGGGGAUCGUAAGACCUUGCACUAUUGGAGCGGCCGAUAUCGGAUUAACUAGUUGGUGAGGUAACGGCUCACCAAGGCGACGAUCCGUAGCUGGUUUGAGAGGACGACCAGCCACACUGGGACUGAGACACGGCCCAGACUCCUACGGGAGGCAGCAGUGGGGAAUUUUGGACAAUGGGGGCAACCCUGAUCCAGCCAUCCCGCGUGGGCGAUGAAGGCCUUCGGGUUGUAAAGCACUUUUGGCAGGAAAGAAACGUCGCGGGCUAAUACCCCGUGGAACUGACGGUACCUGCAGAAUAAGCACCGGCUAACUACGU